rnacentral:rRNA from 1 species
GAUGAAACGCUGGCGGUCUGCUUAAACAACAAUGCAAGUCGAACGAAACUCUUCGGAGUGAGUGGCGGACGGGUGAGUAACGCGUGAGAAUCUGGCUCUGGGUCGGGGACAACCACUGGAAACGGUGGCUAAUACCGGAUGAGCCGAAAAGGUAAAAGAUUUAUUGCCCACAGAUGAGCUCGCGUCUGAUUAGCUAGUUGGUAAGGUAAAAGCGUACCAAGGCGACGAUCAGUAGCUGGUCUGAGAGGAUGAGCAGCCACACUGGGACUGAGACACGGCCCAGACUCCUACGGGAGGCAGCAGUGGGG